CUAUUCGCGUGCGCGUCUCGACAGGACUCCGGGACGGCUUCUAGAGGUCAGGCAUUCCUUGCUUGGCUCCAUCAUUGCCUUCCCCCGCAUCUCUUACUCUAAGCCAUCGUGUGUGCCCUCGCCGAGUCGCCGCCGGUCGUUCCGCCCGCAGACCCUCCCCCUGAUAUUGGGAGGUGUUUCGGUAGUCCCGUCGGCUUCUUACUAAAAUCUCCGCCGCGCCCUGCUUCGAGGCGAAGAUGGAGGUGGUGACGGGGGCGAUGAGCACCCUUCUGCCCAAGUUGGUUAACCUGAUCAAGGACGAGUAUUGUCUGCAGAAGAAGGUUAGGGGAGAAAUCAUGUUCCUCACAGCCGAGUUGGAGAGAAUGGAGGCUGCCCUGCUAGAGGUUUCGGAGGCGCCGAUUGACCACCCACCUAGUAAGCUGGUCAAGCUUUGGGCCAAGGAUGUCAAGGAUCUUUCCUACGAAAUCGAGGACAGCAUCGACAGAUUCGUGGUGCGCCUCGACAGCCGUGAAGAAAAAAAGGUGCAGAGCUUUAUGGGUUUCAUCUAUAGGAGCAUCGACCUGUUGACCAAGGCUAAGAUUCGCCGCAAGGUCGGCACCGAGGUCAAAGGCAUCAAGAGCCGCAUCAAGGAGGUCACUGCACGGCGUGAGAGGUAUAAGCUGGACAAAGUUGUUGUACAGCCUGUUGGCACAAGUAUUGAUAGCCUUCGCCUAUCAGCUCUAUACAAAGAGGAGACGAAACUUGUUGGCAUUGAAGAGAGAAUGAAAGAGCUAGUCAACAUGCUGAUGGAGGAGGCAGAUGAGGCAUCGAAGCAGCAGCUGAAGAUAGUCUCGGUUGUUGGUUUUGGAGGAUUAGGCAAGACGACUCUUGCUAAUGUUGUGUAUCAGAAGCUUAAAUCCCAAUUCGAUUGUGGGGCUUUUGUUUCCAUGUCUCUUAAUCCUAACAUUGAGAAGAUUUUUAAGAACAUACUGCAUCAACUUGACAAGCAGAAGUAUAGUAGCAUCAAUGAAGCAACAUGGAGUGAAGCACAGCUUAUCAGCGAGCUAAGAGAUUUUCUUCGAAACAAGAGGUAUUUCAUUGUGAUUGAUGACAUAUGGAACAGUUCUGUAUGGAAAACACUCAAACAUGCUCUGGUUGAGAACAAAUGUGGAAGUAGAGUAAUCAUGACAACUCGCAUUCUUGAUGUUGCCAAAGAAGUUGCUGCUGUGUUAGACCUAAAGCCUCUUUCCCCUAUUGACUCAAGAAAGUUAUUCUACCAAACAAUGUUUGGUGUUGAAGACAAAUGUCCUCCUAAUCAAUUAGCUGAAAUAUCUGAGAACAUUUUAAAGAUAUGCGGUGGAGUACCAUUAGCUAUCAUUACAACAGCUAGUAUGCUAGCUACUAAAGGUGGAGAUGAUUGGUUGAAAGUGUACCAAUCUAUGGGUUCUGGGCUACUAGAUAGUCCUGAUAUGAAGGACAUGAGAAGGAUAUUAUCAAUCAGUUACUACGACCUACCAGCACAUUUAAGGACAUGUUUGUUGUUUAUCAGUAUCUAUCCAGAGGAUUAUACGAUUGUAGCUGAAGAUUUGAUAUGGCAAUGGAUUGGUGAAGGCUUUGUUCAGGAAGAACAUGGGAGGAGCUUGUAUGAAGUAGGAGAGGACUACUUUCAUGAGCUCAUUAACAAAAGCUUGAUUCAACCUGUAGAUAUUAAGAGUGGUAAUAAAGCGAGCGCUUGUCGUGUACAUGAUAUGGUGCGUGACCUUGUCACUUCCUUGUCAAGUGAAGAGAAUUUUCUAACAAUAUUAGGUGAUCUGCAACCUGUGUCUGCAUCAAGCAAGAUCCAUCGACUUUCUGUACAAAAAAUAAAUGAAGAUGAUUUCAAGCAGUUGGCAACCAUGAGCUUGUUCCAUGCGAGGUCACUUUUUGUAUUUGGGCAAGAUAUGAAUUUGUUGCCCGCGCUCUCAAGCUUUCCAGUCUUGCGCGCGUUGGAUUUAAGUUGUUGUUUGAAUGUGGAUAAUUAUCAUGUUAAGAUUAUUUGUAGUAUGUUUCACUUAAGGUAUUUGUCGCUAUGCAACACAUCCAUCACUAAGAUUCCGGUAGAGAUUGGGAAUCUGCAGUUCUUGAAGGUACUGGACAUAAGUCAGACUGGCAUAGAAGUGUUGCCAUCAGAAUUUGUGCAGCUAACACAACUAGUGUACCUGCAUAUUGACAUGUCAGUGAGAUUGCCGGAAGGUCUUUGGAACUUAAAAUCUCUGCAAGAUUUUCCAGGUAUCUAUGUCACGUCUCCAACCAUGCUGCAUGAUCUGAGCAAGUUGACGAAAUUGAGGAAUGUUCUUAUCAAGGUUGAUGAAUGGAACGGCAGCUAUGAGGAACCUUUCCGGCAGUGUCUCUCCAACCUGGUCAAUCUCAAAACCAUUAGAAUAAAUGGUGCCAAUCUCAGCCUAGAUUUUGGAGGUGAAAAUUUGUCACCGGGGCCUCAACAGCUUCACUCCAUUCAUCUGAUCAAUUUCAUCAACUGUGCAAUGCCUAGAUGGAUGUCCUCCCUCUCCUGCCUCUCUUUUCUUGUAAUCCAUGGUUUGAAAACACUGAGAGUGGAGGACCUUCAAGUCCUUGGGAGCAUACCAUCUCUGUGUGAUCUCGACAUAUGGGUUGUUGAACCUACACAAGAGAGACACAGUAGAUUGUUGAUUGACAGUAGCUAUCCGUUCCAGUGUCUAACAAGUCUCAAGAUCGCCAGUCGCGUUAUGGAGCUGAAGUUUGCUCAAGGAGCCAUGCAAAAACUCCAAACCCUGAAGAUACGUUUAUCGGUGCGGCAAACAUGGGACCAAUUUGGAAAUUUGGAUUUCGGCCUGGAGAAUGUUUCUUCGCUUAAGCAUGUCUAUGUAGGGAGGUGGUCCAAGCCUGACCCUGGGGAGGUUGAGGCUGCAGAGGCUAUAAUUCGGAAAGCACUCGACGUGAAUCCCAGCAAGCCGACGCUCGUGUUCAGCAAGGUCGUUUUGUUUUUCUGUACCUUCCGCGCAUAUUGAUACUUAUGUCAGUAACUUACUUUGGCAUGUAUUGGAAGUGGCGAUGAUGCAUCGGCGUAGCUAGCAGACCAAUAUAUGCAUCUUGCAAGUAAUAGAUGUUGGGUGAUCUCUGAUGUUUCUCAUCUAUCAGUGCAUCAUGAACCACACAAGACAAAAGCUUCUUUCUCGAAGCAGAUGAUAUGUUCUUUCUUGAUGGAUUAGUGCGUGACGAACCACAGAAGACAGAAAUUUCAUACUCUAAGAUCAUCAAUAAUCUGCAAAAAUGUACGUGUUCCUUUAGUACUUUAGCUACUAUUUCUGCCCGUUAGCUGAUCACUGAUCCUUAUUAUCUUCUAUUAUUUUUAUCUAGCAGUGUUGAUUUCUCUUUUCAAAGUGUCAGCAGGCUACUUAACCCUACAAGUAUUGCAUCCAAUAAAUAAUCUGUUGUGGAGAUAAUUCAUGGUGUGGUGAUGAUAAAUCGUAGCAUACUCUCGGCCAUGUGAUUUUUUUGAGAGAGGCAAGGGCUAUGCCAAUUUCAUGAAGAGAAAACCAAAAAACAAGCCAGAGUAAUUAUCAUUAACAAGAAUCCUGAACCCACAAAAGGACACUAUCUUGUGUACAGGACCUACCACUGAACUCUGUGAAAUGUCCACCAUUGCCCUGUAGGCCACCUCCACCGCCUGUAGCGUUUCCUCUUGGAGGAUCUCGCUGGGACUGUUUCUUUUCCUCCCAUACAUUCCAGAGCAUGUAUAAGAGUCUACGAUCAUUCUUCCUAUAUAUUUCGUGCAUUAUCACUAUCAAACAAGAGGUUGAUAACAUGCAUUUAGUUGCAUGUUUGAGAGAACAAAAACUCAACGUUUGAUGGUUCUGUCUCCCCUCCAACAGGAGAGAAGCCUGCAGGUUCAGGACUGGUUGCAAUUUAACACCCAAAAGAAAAAAAGAAAAAAACAGCCUCGUUGCACAAAAACUUUUUAGCCAAACAUGAUAACCAGCCACUGUUUCCUACAGCCUAAAACCAGACCCAGGAACUAGAUAGAAGAACACACCCAUAUCAAAACCUGGGCAUUAACCUGCUAUCCGCAGAACCAUGGGUGCCCAUCCUUGUUUGUGGCUGAACACUUCAGCCACUACUUACAGCCGCAAUCUUGCUCCUUGGCACUGUAUUUCUUGUAAACCUGCAGCCCAAUAUGAAAACCACUGAUCUGUCUGAGCUACGAUGGUAGUUGGAUCAUAAAGAAAUACAUGCCUAAAAUAUGCUGCAUUCCUAAUUUUCGACAAGGCCCAAAAAAAAGCUGCUAUACCUACUGGAUACUGCAACUAGAUUCCUCAUUUGACCAUAAACAAUUAAACACACAAGACCCAUGAAAUCAACUCAGAUAAAUCUUAUAAGUUCGACUUUGACCUGCCUACAUUUAUGCAUGCAUCAUAUGCAGCGAGUACGAUACUCUUUGUACUUGACUAAUUUUUGCUUUGGGACUAUCUAUCACUGGAAAUUUGCAGCUUCUAGGUGUAUGCAUGGAACAAGGAUACCCUUUGGAUUUUGAAUGUGCAUUAAGUAUUAUUUCAUACUCUUUGUUUUCCAUUUGUUGGUGCUAUCCAUGGUUUUAAAUAGCAUGCUAAGUGAUUUAGCGUCAGCCUCCUCCAGCUGUUACAGAUGCUAUAGCGUGCUAUACGGACGCUAAAUCAUUUGGUGUUUUGUAAAAUAAAUGGUGCAUAUGGCGCAGAAACAAGGGAGUUCAGCAGAUAUUCAGCAGAAACAUGAUAUAAAUACUUGCCCAGGACGAUUACAGGCACAAUCCCAUAAGCAAAUAGGUGUCCAAAUGGCCAAACUCCAUGGCAUAAACACAAGUCCAUAAGGCAGUUGCUGCGACAUUUGUUCGUGCCGCCCAGCCGUGGUGCCAUGGUGAUCUUGAAGAAGGGAUGGUGUGUCGGAGCAGGAAUGGAGUAGCCGUGGUGCCCCUCACCGCCAGUUUCAGCACAGGGAAGCAACCUCUCGUCUCUGCACUUAUCCACCGCAAGAGGUGAGACCGUGAGAGUGGGGAACAGGGAGGUGUUAGGUUUUUUGGUCGAUCAGGAGCAGAUUAGACAUCCUGGGUCUUCAUUUGGGCCGAAAGAGGGCUGCAAAUUGAAUGGGUUUCAUCUGAUAACCUACUCCUGGAAUAGCGCUGCUAUCACGAUCAUAUUGGCUGUAGAGGAGAAAACGGAGCCUAAGUGUAGCAGCAACUCCCUCUCAGACGCUAUCACGGGGUGCUAUUUUUUCAUUGUGCUGUCAUGAUAUGGACAUGCUAACCAUGGAUACGACCAUUAGAACCCUAAUUGUUGGUGUCUCUAAUAAUUA